rnacentral:rRNA from 1 species
GGACUACUAGGGUUUCUAAUCCUGUUUGCUCCCCACGCUUUCGCGUCUUAGCGUCAGUAUCGAUCCAGAGAACCGCUUUCGCCGCCGGUGUUCCUCCCAAUAUCUACGAAUUUCACCUCUACACUGGGAAUUCCGUCCUCCUCUCUCGUACUCAAGCCCAUCAGUUUCAGGCGCACUUCCUCGGUUAGGCCGAGGGAUUUCACACCUGACAUAAUGAGCCGCCUACACGCGCUUUACGCCCAGUAAUUCCGAACAACGCUUGCACCCCACGUAUUACCGCGGCUGCUGGCAC